AGGUGAAAUUUCUAUCCUGGUGCAAUAGACAGUACGGUAAGGGAAAGAUGAAAGAACUAGAUCAAGGAAUAAAAAGCAAAGAUAAGCCCUUAUACCUUCUGCAUAAUGCAUUAACUAGAAAUAACUUUACAUAGAGAACUAUGGCCAAGUCCCCUGAAACCAGACGAGGUACCCAAGAAUACCUGAAAGAGCACACUCACCUAUGUGGCAAAAUAGCGGGAAGAUUCAUGAGUAGCAGUGACAAGCCUGCCAAGCCUGGUGACAGCUGGCUGUCUUAGUUCAACUCUAAACUUACCCAUGGAAUUACUUAAUCUCCCUGUAAGUUUGUUAGUCUAGAGAGAGAGAGCUCUUUAGACUCUUCCUACAGAGAGUAAAAAACAUUACCACCACAGUUGGCCCAAAAGCAGCCACUAAUUAAGAAAGAAUUUAAGCUCAGUAUCUAACUAUCUUAAAUUCUAACCAGUCUACUGAACUCUUAACAUCACAUCAGACUAAACUAUUACUUAAUAGAAGCAAUAACGUUAAUAUAAGUAACAUGAAGGCAUUCUCCAUUGCAUAAGCUUACAUCAGACUGGAGUAACCCACUGACAGUUAACAGCCCAAUACUAAUAAAUGAUAUAAUAAACACCCUAUUAUUUGCACUGUUAACCCAACACAGGCAUGCUCUAAAGAAACAUUACAAAAAGUAAAAGGAACUUGGCAAAUCCUACCCUGCCUGUUUACCAAAAACAUCACCUCUAGCAUUACCAGUAUCAGAGGCACGGUCUGCCCAGUGACAUAUGUUCAACGGCCGUGGUAUCCUGACCAUGCAAAGGUAGCAUCAUCACUUGUUCCCUACAUAGGGACUUGUAUGAAUGGCCACACGAGAGUUCAGCUGUCUCUUACUUUCAACCAGUGAACUUGACCUAUCCGUGAAGAGGCGGAUAUAAACAAGUAAGACGAGAAGACCUUACGGAGCUUUAAUCCAUCAAUGCAAAUAAAAACUCCAACAAGCCUACAGGCCCUAGCCUCCUACCCCUGCAUUAAAAAUUUUGGUUGGGGUGACCUCAGAACAUACUUCAAUCUCCUAACAACCUAAACUAAGACCACACUAGUCUAAGUGAGUUAUUACACACUGAGCCAAUAAUUUGAUCAACAGAAUAAGUUAUCCUAGGGAUAACAGUGCAAUCCUAUUCUAGAGUCCAUAUCGACAAUAGGGUUUACGACCUCGAUGUUGGAUCAGGGCAUCCUAAUGGUGUAGCCACUACUAAGGGUUCGUUUGUUCAAUGAUUAAAGUCCUGUAGCGAUCUGAGUUCAGACUGGAGUAAACCAGGUCUGUUUCUACCUAUUUAACAUUCCUCCUAGUAAGAAAGGACAAGAGAAAUAGGGCCCACUUCAUAACGUGCCCUCACUCCAUAGAUGAUGCUAUCUCAAUCUAAUAAAUCAUCACACACUCUACCCAAGAGUAGGGUUUGUUAAGAUGGCAGAGUCUGGCAACUGCAUAAAACACUUUAUAAUCAGAGGUUCAAUUCCUCUUC
rnacentral:rRNA from 1 species